UGAACGCUGGCGGCAUGCCUAACACAUGCAAGUCGAACGGAAACGAUGGGAGCUUGCUCCCAGGCGUCGAGUGGCGGACGGGUGAGUAACACAUAGGAAUCUGCCCAGUAGCGGGGGACAACUUGGGGAAACUCAAGCUAAUACCGCAUACGCCCUACGGGGGAAAGCAGGGGAUCUUCGGACCUUGCACUAUUGGAUGAGCCUAUGUCAGAUUAGCUUGUUGGUGGGGUAAUGGCCUACCAAGGCGACGAUCUGUAGCUGGUCUGAGAGGACGAUCAGCCACACUGGGACUGAGACACGGCCCAGACUCCUACGGGAGGCAGCAGUGGGGAAUAUUGCACAAUGGGCGAAAGCCUGAUGCAGCAAUGCCGCGUGUGUGAAGAAGGCCUGCGGGUUGUAAAGCACUUUCAGUAGGGAGGAAACAGUUGCGGGUUAAUAUCCCGCGACCUUGACGUUACCUACAGAAGAAGCACCGGCUAACUCU
rnacentral:rRNA from 1 species